GAUGAAGCACGUAGCGAAAUGCGAUACGUAAUGUGAAUUGCAGAAUUCAGUGAAUCAUCGAGUCUUUGAACGCACAUUGCGCCCCCUGGUAUUCCGGGGGGCAUGCCUGUCCGAGCGUCAUUGCUGCCCUCAAGCACGGCUUGUGUGUUGGGCCUCCGCCCCCCGGCUCCCGGGGGGCGGGCCCGAAAGGCAGCGGCGGCACCGCGUCCGGUCCUCGAGCGUAUGGGGCUUCGUCACCCGCUCCGUAGGCCCGGCCGGCGCCCGCCGGCGACCCCCCUCAAUCUUUCCAGGUUGACCUCGGAUCAGGUAGGGAUACCCGCUGAACUUAAGCAUAUCAAUAAGCGGAGGA
rnacentral:misc_RNA from 1 species